rnacentral:rRNA from 1 species
GACGAACGCUGGCGGCGUGCUUAACACAUGCAAGUCGAACGAUGAAGCCUAGCUUGCUAGGUGGAUUAGUGGCGAACGGGUGAGUAAUACGUGAGUGACCUACCUUUGACUCUGGGAUAAGCCUGGGAAACUGGGUCUAAUACCGGAUACGACCAAUCUCUGCAUGGGGUGUUGGUGGAAAGCGUUAUGGAGUGGUUUUAGAUGGGCUCACGGCCUAUCAGCUUGUUGGUGAGGUAAUGGCUUACCAAGGCGACGACGGGUAGCCGGCCUGAGAGGGUGACCGGCCACACUGGGACUGAGACACGGCCCAGACUCCUACGGGAGGCAGCAGUGGGGAAUAUUGCACAAUGGGCGCAAGCCUGAUGCAGCGACGCCGCGUGAGGGAUGACGGCCUUCGGGUUGUAAACCUCUGUUAGCAUCGAAGAAGCGAAAGUGACGGUAGGUGCAGAGAAAGCGCC